GUAGUACGCGAGCUGGGUUUAGAACGUCGUGAGACAGUUCGGUCCCUAUCUGCCGUGGGCGCUGGAGAAUUGAGGGGGGCUGCUCCUAGUACGAGAGGACCGGAGUGGACGCAUCACUGGUGUUCGGGUUGUCAUGCCAAUGGCACUGCCCGGUAGCUAAAUGCGGAAGAGAUAAGUGCUGAAAGCAUCUAAGCACGAAACUUGCCCCGAGAUGAGUUCUCCCUGAGACUUUAAGUCUCCUGAAGGAACGUUNAAGACGANGACGUUGAUAGGCCGGGUGUGUAAGCGCAGCGAUGCGUUGAGCUAACCGGUACUAAUGAACCGUGAGGCUUAACCUUACAACGCCGAAG
rnacentral:rRNA from 1 species